rnacentral:rRNA from 1 species
GAAGUAGGUAGUCUAACCGCAAGGAGGACGCUUACCACGGUGUGGCCGAUGACUGGGGUGAAGUCGUAACAAGGUAGCCGUAGGGGAACCUGCGGCUGGAUCACCUCCUUAA